GAUCAUGGCUCAGGAUGAACGCUAGCUACAGGCUUAACACAUGCAAGUCGAGGGGCAGCAUGGUCUUAGCUUGCUAAGGCCGAUGGCGACCGGCGCACGGGUGAGUAACGCGUAUCCAACCUGCCUUACACUCUUGGACAGCCUUCUGAAAGGGAGAUUAAUACAAGAUGUUAUCAUGAGUAAGCAUUUUCGCAUGAUUAAAGGUUUACCGGUGUAAGAUGGGAUGNGUU
rnacentral:rRNA from 1 species